AUAAGGGCACCACAGAGGUCGGCUAUUCGUUAUGAUGAUUAUCAUUAAUAAUAAAGUGCUCAGCACAUGGGGGUACGCCUCAGUAAGCGCUAAUACACGGUUCCUCCCGACUGAGUCACCUGCUCAGGGGCCUGAACAUGGCCCGGGCAUCCCGCCCCGCCGCCCCCUACCCCGGACCGCGAGCGGGGACCACCGGGGGAAGGAGGUCGGGAUAACCCGGGGAGAGGCGCUCUAGGGGGCGCCAGGAAGAGGCGAGGCGCGCAGCGCGGGCCUUCGCGCAGGUAAAAGAGCGUCGCCCGGGUAGACAGCCACCUCACCGGGGGUAAAAAAGUUGACAUCAUCCUCUUCCUUUGGCUGAGAUGAACUCUAUGCACCAACACCGUACAGCCUGGGGAUUGUUCAUACAAGAAUCUGGUUUGCACAGGCUUUCUGAGCCACGAAGUAAGUAGAUGGACUGUCCUGAGGCUGUAUGCUCUGAGGAAGUCCAGACUAGCUUGCAUAGGGAAGCCGUGACACUUCAAGAAGAGAGAUGCCCACCAUCACCAGCUGAGCCUGGCCCCAUUCUGUUGCAGCUUCGGCAACCAUUGGACUACUACUGCCUGAGAGACCAUAGCCACAGAUGCAGAGCUUGAGCUCUUUCCAAAUUCCUGACCCACAGAAACAGAAAUUUUAAUAAUAGUUCCGAAGAACACAGGGGCAGGACAGGAAUAAAGAUGCAGACGUAGAGAAUGGACUUGAGGACAAAGGGAGGGGGAAGGGUAAGCUGGGACGAAGUGAGAGAGUGGCAUGGACUUAUAUAUACUACCAAAUGUAAAAUAGAUAGCUAGUGGGAAGCAGCCGCAUAGCACAGGGAGAUCAGCUCGGUGCU